rnacentral:rRNA from 1 species
ACAUUAGAUACCCGCGUAGUCCAGGGUGUAAACGCUGCAGACUUGGUGUUGGGAACCCUUCGGGGGUGCUUAGUGCCGGAGAGAAGUUGUUAAGUCUGCUACUUGGGGAGUACGUCCGCAAGGAUGAAACUUAAAGGAAUUGGCGGGGGAGCACCGCAACGGGAGGAGCGUGCGGUUUAAUUGGAUUCAACGCCGAAAACUCACCAGCAGCGACUGUUACAUGAAAGUCAGGUUGAUGACCUUACUAGAUUUUUCAG